rnacentral:tRNA from 2 species
CCGACCUUAGCUCAGUUGGUAGAGCGGAGGACUGUAGUUGGUACGCAGAUAUCCUUAGGUCACUGGUUCGAAUCCGGUAGGUCGGA